CUCCAGCCGAGCGGCUGCGCUGCGCUGCGCUGCGCUUGCCGCGGGCCAGGCGCCUUGGGCGGAGAGCUGUGCAGCGGAGAGGCUGGUGGUCGCCAGAGAACUCAGGAUUCUGUAGUUCAGUCUGAGUGGGUGACAACCUAGUGCAGCUUAGGGUCAGCUGACCAUUGUGCUCCUAUGACCAAGAAGCCAUUGCACUGCUGGAUACAGUAGCUUGAUGGAUUUAUGAGAAACAAAAAGGAGCUGCGUGGCAGUCUUGCUCUUUGCCGGUAUGGCCUGAUAUAGCAUGGACCCAGUCUUGACAAUGAAUCGCCAGGCUACUUUUGGAAACCAGAAGCAACAAGGGAAAUAGAACUGAGCCUGCCUCCCAG